CCAACUGGGCAGAGGGGUCCUCCUCUCAUCAUCUCUGGCUGCAAUUCCUCAGAUGCUCCGUGGGCUGGCUGGAAAAUGUAUGGACUUGUUUGCAGGGAACACCUGGAACACUGGCUUACAUUUUGGUCCCUGCUGUAUGGGAGUGGGAAAAAAGUGGAUAGGCUGGAAAAUGUCCAGAGAAGAGCCACAAGUAUGACCAGAAGACUGGAAACUGCUGUGUGAGGAGAGGCUGAAAGAGCUGGGUUUUUUCAGCCUUGAGAAGAGGAGGCUGGACUUUGUUAUUGUGCACCAGUACAUAGAGGGUGGAUAUCAGGCUGACAGAGAUUCCCUUUUUACAUGGAGUCCCAUGGAAAAGACAAGGGGUGAUGGGAAAAGUUACUGCUGGGGACAUUCCCAUUGCACUCCAGAAGAAAAUGUUUCCCCACAAGCACAGUCAAACACUGCAAUCACCUCCCAAGGGAAGCAGUGGAGUCCCCUAUACUGGACAGUUUUAAGACUCAGCUUGACAGGGUACUGGGCCAGCUCACCUUGACUCUGCUAUUGCUUAGAAAGAGCAAGUGUAACUGCCCAACAUACCAGCAAUUCCACAUAUUCUGCCUGCAAGGAAAAGACACUCUUCCUCUUUCACCCACAGGUUGCACUGUGUAGCUGUGAUACAAGAUCUUUAAUCAUAGUGACAAGCAGAGAGACCUAUGCAAAUAUAAGCAAAUAGCGUUUGACAUUUAUGUGAAGAUGAUAAAGACAAAACAUUGGGGGCUAUUAUGAGGCUGGAGAAUGUUUGCACUGCUAGUACAAGAGAACACGAAGUUUUAACCAAGCAAUACUUCCAAGCCUCAGCUGACAUGAGUUCAAAGAUGGUGUGAUCUUGCCUGUUAAGUGGAGGCAUCAUGGGCUGUUAAAUACACUAAAACUGAAGAGCAGCACCUGGCUUAAUAUCAUUCUUUGCCGGAUACACUUGCCUUUGUCCUCUUCUUCCACCAUCUUUUCUAACAUAUCUUUUGUUGGCAUAAGAAGUGGGUGAGCAUUUCUCUUGCAUUUAACUAUGUCAUCUUCUGCACAUUGCUCUGGUGCCCACUAAUAAAUGUAGAUGUGUUCCUGAGUGCACACCAUGUUAUGGCUUUAACAAGUCCAUGCGUUAUGCACUUACGGGAAUGUGCCAUCAACUACAAGCAAGAGACAGGCCUGGUGUUUAUUGGAGAAGUCAGAUCUCAUGAAGAAGGAUGAUUAAAAAAAUAUUGAAAGGGAUUUGAAGACCAUUCAGUAUAAAGAAAAAGCAAUAGCCCAUUCAACUGGAACUCAUGUAAACUCAAGAAAAGUAACUGCAGCUGAAGGCAAUCCCCUAAGUAUACCUUUUUGCUGUGGCUGUAUCCUUGAAAGGAUCCUCUCUCAAGGUUACAGCUUAGAGAUGCAUUUUUAGAUCACUGACCCACAGGACCUUUUGCAAAAUCUCUAAAGUAGCUGUUAGAAUCUAUUACAGUAGGUAACUUGGGGAAAGUGCAGUUCACAAAUCAAAGUAUCAAUAAAACAACUCCUUUCCUACUUGCCAUAGUUUAUUGUAUCCAGAACCUACUUAGGAGUUGGUGUGUCACUGAUCCAAUUGAGUGUGAUGACUUCUCUUGAGUUUGUAAUGUAUGCUAGAUCUCCAUGGACAAGAGGCAUUCAGACUGAGCACUAGAAUAUACAGCAAAGUGUGAUUCUAGUUAACCAGGAAAGUGAUUUAUUUUGCGGGUUUACGUCUAAUUUAAAUGACUAUGAGAUCCUUUAUGAUAUCACAAGUAUGGAUUGAAUGCAACUGUAGGUGCACUGAAGGUACAAGCAGUAUCAGUUCUUGGAUUAAGAUAAAUAAGAUCAGAAGAAAGCAUUGAGUCUUUUGUGCAAAAAAAGGACUCUAUUAACAGUGACUUUCCUUACACAGAGAUCCAUAUAUUAGAUACAGACUCUUAAUUGUUCUGCCCUGCUCUGAGGGACCAGAGCAGCUGCAAGAGAUGCAUAUUCAGUUCCCUAAGUCAGGGAGGGAACUUGCAGUGGCAUAGUCUUUAACUUGCAUUGUCACCUAACAAGAAAGAAGACUGAAGCUAGGAGUUGGAAAAGUGACCUAUGGCUCUUUUGUCCCUGUGUCUGUCACAUUCAUCUUGGAUGUGCAUUGUCACUGGAGUGGCAGGAGGGUGUAGUAAGUGAUUUAUAACAAAUGAAUUCUUUACUAUACUACUGAAGAUAUUCUAACCAUGGAGCAAUCUGUGACAACAAAAUACUUAGGGCCUUUGGGGUGCUCUGCAUUUCAAUGAUUUUCCAUUGUUAUGUACACCUGCAGAACUUCAGAAGGCUCUAGGAAAGAUCACACAAAUGAGCUGAAGAAAAAUACUAGCUGCAUGUAAUAAAGAACAACUUCUUGUAUUACACAAUUAUUUGAACUGUUAAACAUGAGCCAUAAAGGCUCUUGGAAGCUCUUAUGACAUGACUUAUCUCACCUGAUUUAAGUCACUUACAAGUUAAAGGUCUAAUUUGUUAGUCACUUAGACUUCCUGCAGACCUUCUGAUAUAUGUAGCUAUGUCUGGUGACAAGAACCUCUCUCUGGAGAUGUCUGUUUUCUCUGUACUGAUGACAGAGACAGAUUAGGCACUUGACUUUUAGCCUUCAUUAAAAAGUGAGUGAUUGAUUUCAGUAAGUGAAACUGAAAAGAUGCUCUUACAGCCUGAUAGAAGCAUACUGCAUUUGAAAUAAUUUGCUUCCUAUUCUGGGGUAGGAGAAGGUGGGAUGAGGCACAAGAAAAGUAUUUAGGCAUAAGGCUAUUAAAAAAAACUUCAAGCAAACUUUCAAGCAACCCAGAAUAUUGGAAAAUUGUAAAUUUCUUGCAGAUUCCUUGUCAAGAUGACACAAAAUUUCAAAAGUUUACUUUUUUUAGUAGUUUAAGCUUAGUAGCUCAAUUGGCUGAAUUCCCUGCAUUAAUCUGGGGGACGAGACAUAAGCAGAAUGCUUCAAUGAUUGCUUAGAGUUAGGUUUCGGUCUGUAAAACUUUACUUAAAAGCUUAGAAAUUCUUUCUUCUCGAUGGCAACAAAAGUUUAUAAAAGCCAAAGCUGUAUCCUCUAGGGAUGGCCCAUUGCUGAGAGGGGUAAAUUUGU